CUAGCUUCUGGGGCUCAGAGGCCACUUGGGUUCUGGUGGGUAUUGAUCACAGUACUUCCAGCCCCUUGGGUGCAUGUGUGAGCCAUUUUCCUGAUCACUGUGAUUGAACUGGCGGCCUGGCCCCUGUGAGAUGUCUUAGUGAGCUCAGUCAUCUUCCUGAGAAUGACCCAGUAUUCCAGGUGCCCACCUGAAAUGGAGGCACAGCAGAGGCGAGCAGAGCUGAGCACUGACAAAGUCCUGGGGUCACCUGGAGCCAGCUGUGUCUAAAGCCAGGACCCUUUGUACUUGGAUCUCCAGGAUUCCCAGUUCUAGUCUUCCCAGCCCAGUUUACAAGGUUCUCUAGUUUUCUCAGGAACCUAACUCCACCUCAUCACUUACUGCCAUCUCCAGCUACCCAGUGCCUAGCCCCCCUCUCCUGGGUUCUCCUCUCCACCUCCAGACACUAAUCCCUCCCAUUCCCUGGAUUUUCCAGCCUUUAGACCACUCUCACUCGAGUCCCCCAGGUGGCUGCAGCACUGUCUGUGAUGGUCACUCUCGGACUGAAGACCAGAUCACCACCCAUCUUGCCUGGCCUGGAGGCCUUGGAUCUAGCACAUCCAGCAGGGAGGUCCGGCCUGGUGAGGGCCGAGCUUGUCUACCCCUAGCUUAGUGGGGGUGGAGAUGGUGGCUCUUCAUUAAGAAAAAUCAAGAAGUGUGGUGUUCACACUAAGAGCCCUAGAACCAGGUCCCUUGAUGCCACCUUGGGCAGGGAGUCACCUCUUUGGAAGAGCAGCCUCACAGGUGAAGGCCAAGCUGCAAGCAUCCCCUGGACUUCUCUUGCAGGUGUUCCUGGGGCUCUGUCAGGGUGGUCCAGCUGAGGAAGGGCUUGCACACCUCCCCAUCUGGCCCAACUCUGGGUGUUCUGAGGGUCAGGUAACCAGCAAGUCAGCCAGGGGCCCCAGGAAAAGAGGUCACAAGGAGUGCAUGUGGUGUCAAGGGAAUGGUUAACCCCUCUGCAGGAUUAGAUGGACAGGGCUACAGUCCAAAGUCUGGGCCAUUGACCCAAAGGCUUCAGGUAUGGAACAGGGGGGGCUUGGUUUUCUGAAUCCCUCAGCCCUGACAGAAAGUAACUCAUCCUCUUGAACUCACAGGGAAUCUGUAUGCCCACAGAGGUGGGUAAUCCAAGAAAACUUGGGGAGUAGCGGGGGAUGGGACCUGGGGUGUGGUCCGGUGGUCCUGUACCUUCUUGGCACAUGUGAGGACCUGGGUUCUAUCCCCAGACUGCAAAAGCAUCUUGAUGAGACUGCCGCAGCCCAGCUGGCUGGGCAAAUUAACCAGGGGGUGACGAAUAACUCGUGUACGUUGAUACAGCAGGAGUGGAAGCCGUUUAUUGCAGGACAGGAGCAGUAUUUAUACAUUCCACACAGCUUAUCUAAUUAGCAUAAACUAGAUACAUCAGUCAACCAAUAAGGAAUCUCCACACUUAAUGGCUUGCUUUUGUUACUUCUCAAACCACUCCCUCUGGCAUUUUGCCAGGCACCAUCCAGAUUUGUUUACGAACUCUAACAUUCCCCUGGCAAAAUGCCAGGUGUUAUUUUGACUUGUUUACAGACUCUAACAUGAGACCUUGUCUCAAAAAUAAAAGGGAUGGGGAAGUGGCUCAGUGGACAGCAUUUGCUACCAUGUGUAAGGAGAGACCUCAGUUUGAUCCCCAGCAUGCCAAACAAAAAUUUUUAAGUCAUUAUAUUUUAUUCUCAGGGAACAUCCUAAGAAAACAACUUUACAAAAUGCAGUAGAAGAAUAUGGUGGGGCACACCUCUAAUCCCCAUGACUAUGGAGGUGGAGGAGCAGGACAGCACAUUUGAGGCUAGCUUGGACAAUUUAGCAAGACCCUUUCUUGGGGGUGGGGGCAGGGAAAGAACUGAGUGAGGAUGUAGCUCAGUGGUGAAGCACUUGCCUAGCAUGAGGCCCCGGGCUCCGUCCCCAGGACACAAAACAGAAUAGAAAUGCUAUGAUGACACCCUCAAAAUUAACAUGUCUUACUAUCAUCAAAUAUUCACUGUUCAAAUUUCCAAUUGUCUUGCAAAUGUCUUCAUAUCGUUCUGUGCCUGAGUAAGCCUUAUCGGAAUACUUCUUCAAGUAUUAGUUGUUAGUUGCUAUGUCUUUUUAUUUUUAUUUUUUUUGAGAGAGAGAGAGAGAAUUUUAAUAUUUAUUUUUUAGUUUUUGGCAGACACUACAUCUUUGUUUGUAUGUGGUGCUGAGGAUCGAACCCGGGCCGCACGCAUGCCA
rnacentral:lncRNA from 1 species